rnacentral:rRNA from 1 species
GACGAACGCUGGCGGCGUGCUUAACACAUGCAAGUCGAACGGUGAAGCGAGUGCUUGCACUCGUGGAUCAGUGGCGAACGGGUGAGUAACACGUGAGUAACCUGCCCAUCACUCUGGGAUAAGCACUGGAAACGGUGUCUAAUCCUGGAUACGACCUACCCCUGCAUGGGGUGUUGGUGGAAAGUUUUCUCGUUGAUGGAUGGACUCGCGGCCUAUCAGCUUGUUGGCGGGGUAAUGGCACACCAGGGCGACGACGGGUAGCCGGCCUGAGAGGGUGACCGGCCACACUGGGACUGAGACACGGCCCAGACUCCAACGGGAGGCAGCAGUGGGGAAGAGUGCACAAUGGGCGAAAGCCUGGUGCAGCGACGCCGCGUGAGGGAUGACGGCCUUCGGGUUGUAAACCUCUUCCAGCAGGGACGAAGCGAAAGUGACGGUACCUGCAGAAGAAGCACCGGCUAACUACGUG